CUUGUCUCUUUUACUGUAAUAUCGGCUCCAUAAAGGCUGAGGUUUUUGUCUGUCUGUUUUGCUGCUGUAGCCCCAGCACCAAGAACCGUGGCUGGCACACAGUAAAUUCACAGUAAAAAUGUCGAGUCAAUGAACAAUCUUGACUUGGCUAAUUGAUAGGGUUUGGCUGUGUCCCCACCCAAAUUUCAUCUCCAAUUGUAUUCCCCACUUGUCGGGGGAAGGGCCUGGUGGGAGGUGAUUGUAUCAUGGGGGCGGAGCUCCCCCUCCCCCUUGCUAUUCUCGUGAUAGAGCUCUCCUCACUUCUCUCUCUGUCUCUCCUGCCACCAUGUGAAGAAGGUGCUUGUUUCCCCUUUGCCUUCCGCCAUGAGUGUAAGUUUCCUGAGGUCUCCCAGUCAUACUGCUGGUUAAGCCUGCAGAACGGCUGGUCUUGAACUCCCAGCCUCAAGCCAUCCUCCCGCCUUGGCCUUUCAAAGUGCUGGAUUACAAGCGUGAGCCACCGUGCACAGCCAAGACACAAUUUUAAAUCGAGCGGUCAGGAAGCCUCCUGGAGAAAAUGACGUUUGAACAAAGACAUGAAGAAAGUGGAGAAUAUUUGGAGAAAAGCAUUUCAGGCAGAGGAAAGUGCCAGGGCAGAGGCCCCGAGGACAGGAAAAUGAGACCCACAGAAGUUCAAGUCACCAGGCCAGUUAUUGUUGGGCUAGCACUUGAAGCCAGGUCUGCCUGAAUUUAGGGCCUCAGCUCUUUCCCACGCAUUUUUAGCCCAGAACCAAGCUGUUCAUAAAAGGUGUGCCUGCAAAUAGGAAACUAGAGAGCAUGGGCCCUCAGAGAGAGCUCUGAACCCCAUCUUCGACCUCGAACCUGUCCUUGGACUGAACCUGUCUUUAGGAGGUCUGCCCAUACGGAUGAAUCUGGAGCAGAGGCCGGGCUCAGCAGGAGAGCUUCACAAAACUGAGAUUCGAUGAAGCAGAGCCCCGUUUUAAGGGCUGCACAAAUCCACCCGGAGCCUUCCGUGUUCUCUCUCUCUCCAACAGCCUCCCUAUGAGGAGCAACUGUAGGGACCGAGAGACAAUAGCAGGCUGGGCCAUGGGGAGGGAUUUUUUUCCCGGGAUCUCAGUGGAGAUGGGGAGGUAGAGUGAGGGAAGGAAGCAGCCAGGCAGAGAGGCGCGGGGCUUUAUUAAUUAAUUGAGGGAGAGACGUAAUGGAGGGUGGAAUCCACAGAGGGAAAGCGGGCUCCAUCUCGAGUUUAUGGGUCAUUUUUCUGGUGGCAGUUCAGUUGCCCCAGAGAGGAUAGCACCUCGGUCUGUCGCCUCCUGACAAGCACUAGGGGCCCUCAAGGCAAGUGGGAUGUACCCCACUUCUGGCCUGCAAUAGAAAGAACUCCCUUCCCGGAUUCCAGGCGCGCUGGCUUUGGCCACGUGGAAUGGUCAUGGUGGGCUGCACUGGGAACCACAUUGCAGGUUCGAAUCCCAACUGCACUGUGUAGGAGCUGCGUGACCUUGAGUGAAUUGGUUGACCCUUCUGUGCCUCAAUCACCUCCCCUGUGAAGUGGGAACAACAGUACCUUCCUCGUAGAGUUGGGACGAGGAUUAAAUGCUUGAAAUGAUGCCAGUCCCACAGUAAAGCUUUCGGCAAAGGAUGGGAUUAUUGGACCUGGGAAGGAGAAGACAGGUGCCUCAGUUUACCACGGAUUCCACAUGUGACCCAAAUGCCAGCAUGGGGGAAAGGAGACGUCUCCUUACCCCUUAGGCCUGGACAGUAAGUGGA
rnacentral:lncRNA from 10 species